CUGCAGCAGCUGGAGGAAUGGGAAGAGCAGCAGCUUGGUAGGAAGGAGCCCAGAAGCUGCAAAUUAAUUGCUUGUGGGCUGCAUGUGGUCCGUAGGCCAUCAGUUGGACAGCCCUCUUAGAUGUAUGGAGUUUCUCUUCCCACUCCUUAGCAGCACAAAGAAAAUAAGAUAACCAUGAACUUGAAAAACAAGCCAUUUGCAGGUAGACUGAGCCAAAAGAAAAAGGAACAUCCUACAUGGAGAUGUGACAUGCUCUGUUGCAGGGGGAGCUUGUUUCCUCUGGGAAACAGGAUUGUCUGCUUCAGAUUGGAAGCCGGCCUUAGAUUUAACUAUGGAAAGGCUACUGCUUCUUAAUACAGCAUGACACAACUUAAACAGGAUUUGCUGGUGCAUGCUUACAUGUGCAAAAAUAAGCUGUUUUGAAUUUGAUUGUGGGUUUAUCCUUGUGGAAGCAAAUAUAUCUGCAUGUAUAAAUAAAGAGGACAAGUGAACA